rnacentral:rRNA from 1 species
GACGAACGCUGGCGGCGUGCCUAAUACAUGCAAGUUGAGCGCUGAAGGUUGGUACUUGUACCAACUGGAUGAGCAGCGAACGGGUGAGUAACGCGUGGGGAAUCUGCCUUUGAGCGGGGGACAACAUUUGGAAACGAAUGCUAAUACCGCAUAAAAACUUUAAACACAAGUUUUAAGUUUGAAAGAUGCAAUUGCAUCACUCAAAGAUGAUCCCGCGUUGUAUUAGCUAGUUGGUGAGGUAAAGGCUCACAAAGGCGAUGAUACAUAGCCGACCUGAGAGGGUGAUCGGCCACAUUGGGACUGAGACACGGCCCAAACUCCUACGGGAGGCAGCAGUAGGGAAUCUUCGGCAAUGGACGAAAGUCUGACCGAGCAACGCCGCGUGAGUGAAGAAGGUUGUCGGAUCGUAAAACUCUGUUGGUAGAGAAGAACGUUGGUGAGAGUGGAAAGCUCAUCAAGUGACGGUAACUACCCAGAAAGGGACGGCUAACUACGUG